AACUUGCCCAAGAAUAGACAACUAGGAGGAGCCAGAGUAAUGUGUGCUUGCUAUUAGAUAUUUAAACAAUGGAAAAAUAUUACAAAAGACUGCAAACUCCAUGACAGCAGGGAUAUUUGUUUUGUUUAUGGAUAUAUCCCAAGUACUAGAACAGUACCUGGAACAGAAGUGCUCAAGAAAUAUUUUUUCAGUGAAUGAAUUUGUUGAAUGCUAGCCCAUAAAGAGAAAUAUUUAACAGUUUGGUAUCUGUUUUUCUGGACUUUAAAAAAUAUAUACUAUAUGUUUUUUUUAAUUUUAUUUUUUUGAAUAGGCAAUACAUGGUCCAUAAAUCAAAAUACUAUAAAAAGGUAUACAGUGAAAAGAAGUGCUCCCACCCCUGCCCCCAUUCCCCCCUACCUCAGGUAAUCACUUUUUUUAGUUUCUGGUGUUUCCUUCCAGGGUUUCUAUAUGCAAAAAAUACAUACCUCCUUUCUUACACAAAACGUAUACUGCGCAUACUGUUCUGGACCUUGCUUUUUUACUUACAGUAUAUGAUUUUUUAAACAUGCAUAUGAUCAUAGUGUACAAUAGUGUUUUGUAACUUGCUUUGAUUCUCUUGGCAAAAAUAUAUUGCAGACUUCUAUCCUUGUUGAUACCUUUAGUUUUACCUGAGAAACAUUUAUUAUAGAUUAUCUGGGGUUAAAGAGAUCUGUAGACGAGUAGAAGUUUCAAACUUACAUUUGGGAAGUUUAACCAGCAUAUUUAAGGCAAGAAAGAUUUAUGGGUCAUAACUGUUUAAAAGCAGAAUACAGUUGGUACUUAAAGAUGUUAUGAUUGCUGAUUAAACUGAAGAGUCAUCUGAAAAGCAAAAGCAGUGAGUACCAAGUUGACCAGUUGUAUCCUCAAAUCAGCUAGCAAAACCAGUAAGUCGGUAAAAAGAUCCCAGUCAUUAUAACAACAAAAAACCUAAAAUGUCCAGGAAUUAAUUAGAGAUGUCAGGAUUUAUAUGAAGAAAAUCAUUGAACUUUGUUGAAGGGUGUAAUAUAAGGCUGAAUAAGUGUAGACAUACCAAUUUUAUGCGCCAAUUUUUUUCUUUUUAUUAUUUUUACAAUUUGGCCAAUGUUAGUGAUGAGUGGUUGUGUUCAGUUUUUUUAUUGAUACAUAAUUUGUUAAGCAUCCUUUUGAUGAUCUUUUUGUUUCCAUAAAAUUUCUAAAGAGGAACUUUGGAAUGAGAUUUAUAGGUCUUCAGAAUAUCAUUUUCAUGACUUUUGAUGCAUGAACAUACUUCUUAAGAGGUUUUUAAGAGGUUGUACAUAGAAACUUGCACAAUGGAUGAUUAUUACUGCCUUGAACUAGUCUCAAUUUAAUAAAAAGUACCUAUGUAACUUAACUGAUAUUUACAUGUAGUAGAUUUUUUUCAAAGGUUGACAUAGGGAAAGAUAAGGGAGAUGAUAUGCUGGUUUUUAAUGAAAAGGAAUGUCUUUUUGUGGUCUACUAAUUGACUGCUUUAAGAAGAGAACCUACUAUUAGUUCAGUGGAUUGUUAAGUUCUGGAGUAGUGUUAGUUUAGAAGCAAUAAAGGAUUGGUUGCUAAAGGUAAAAAGCAAACCUUAAAACAAUAACCUAAAAACAAAUGGGAAGGUUCUGGGCAGAGAAUUAACAUUAUUAAUGCAGUUCAGUUUCAGUUUUCUUUUUUUCAUACAGCAGAGCAAACUAUUUCCUGGUUUUGUUUAUGGAAAGAUGUUAUGCUGUAUCAGCUGGAAUCUAGCUUUGCUUAUGAAGGUGUAACCACGUAGGUGAAAGAUGUUGAUUACUGAGUUUUCUCACACCAUAUAUUAAUCAAAUACUCUUAUUUGGGUUGGGUUUCUAUAGGGAAAUUUCAUUUUGACUUUUCAUUUAGAAUUUUUCCGUUUGGUUCUAAAUCUAUAGGGGACAUUACAUUCAGUACACUUCAUUUUUAAAGAAUAUGUUGCUUAACAAUAAUUCUAGAUCCUGGGAUUGGAUAUCUAUCAGAUCCCACUCAUAUCUCCACAGUGUGAAAUUAGCAAAAAGAUAUAGUUAAAUACUCAGUCUCGAUUUAGACCGAAUAAUUGUGUUUCUCAGCUGGACACACAUUUUCCAGCCAUUCGGUUUUUGCCUGCCUUAUGUAUUUAGGUGAUUAUUCUUCUAGGUUUAUCAAGAAACUGAGGAGUACCUUUUUAGGAUUGUUGCUGGAGGCUGUUGGAACAUAGACUAGCUUCAAAUUUGAGAGUCAGAUUGAUUGAUAAAAUAUAUCUGAUGUUGUUACCGCUGAAUAAAUGACUUUUGCUGGUAAAGUAGUAUGCUUUUAAAAUAAUAUGAAAAAAUUCUGAAUUAAAGUUAGUAAUUUACACUGUAAUUGAUUUUAGAUGUUAUUAUAUUACUUGCUAAUAAGAUUUUUUUUUUUUCUGGGAAUAGAAGCUCAUAAAAAUUUAAAAUAUGUUUAAUUUUCUAUAUAGCUCCAUCAAGUAUGAUGGUGAAGGAUGAAUAUGUGCAUGACUUUGAGGGACAGCCAUCGUUGUCCACUGAAGGACAUUCAAUUCAAACCAUCCAGCAUCCACCAAGUAAUCGUGCGUCGACAGAGACAUACAGCACCCCAGCUCUGUUAGCCCCAUCUGAGUCUAAUGCUACCAGCACUGCCAACUUUCCCAACAUUCCUGUGGCUUCCACAAGUCAGCCUGCCAGUAUACUGGGGGGCAGCCAUAGUGAAGGACUGUUGCAGAUAGCAUCAGGGCCUCAGCCAGGACAGCAGCAGAAUGGAUUUACUGGUCAGCCAGCUACUUACCAUCAUAACAGCACUACCACCUGGACUGGAAGUAGGACUGCACCAUACACACCUAAUUUGCCUCACCACCAAAACGGCCAUCUUCAGCACCACCCGCCUAUGCCGCCCCAUCCCGGACAUUACUGGCCUGUUCACAAUGAGCUUGCAUUCCAGCCUCCCAUUUCCAAUCAUCCUGCUCCUGAGUAUUGGUGUUCCAUUGCUUACUUUGAAAUGGAUGUUCAGGUAGGAGAGACAUUUAAGGUUCCUUCAAGCUGCCCUAUUGUUACUGUUGAUGGAUACGUGGACCCUUCUGGAGGAGAUCGCUUUUGUUUGGGUCAACUCUCCAAUGUCCACAGGACAGAAGCCAUUGAGAGAGCAAGGUUGCACAUAGGCAAAGGUGUGCAGUUGGAAUGUAAAGGUGAAGGUGAUGUUUGGGUCAGGUGCCUUAGCGACCACGCGGUCUUUGUACAGAGUUACUACUUAGACAGAGAAGCUGGGCGUGCACCUGGAGAUGCUGUUCAUAAGAUCUACCCAAGUGCAUAUAUAAAGGUCUUUGAUUUGCGUCAGUGUCAUCGACAGAUGCAGCAGCAGGCGGCCACUGCACAAGCUGCAGCAGCUGCCCAGGCAGCAGCCGUGGCAGGAAACAUCCCUGGCCCGGGAUCAGUAGGUGGAAUAGCUCCAGCUAUCAGUCUGUCAGCUGCUGCUGGAAUUGGUGUUGAUGACCUUCGUCGCUUAUGCAUACUCAGGAUGAGUUUUGUGAAAGGCUGGGGACCGGAUUACCCAAGACAGAGCAUCAAAGAAACACCUUGCUGGAUUGAAAUUCACUUACACCGGGCCCUCCAGCUCCUCGACGAAGUACUUCAUACCAUGCCGAUUGCAGACCCACAACCUUUAGACUGAGGUCUUUUACCAUUGGGGCCCUUAACCUUAUCAGGAUGGUGGACUACAAAAUACAAUCCUGUUUAUAAUCUGAAGAUAUAUUUCACUUUUGUUCUGCUUUAUCUUUUCAUAAAGGGUUGAAAAUGUGUUUGCUGCCUUGCUCCUAGCAGACGGAAACUGGAUUAAAACAAUUUUUUUUUUCCUGUUCAGAACUUUUCAGGCAUGGCUCAGAGCUUGAAGAUUAGGAGAAACACAUUCUUAUUAAUUCUUCACCUGUUAUGUAUGAAGGAAUCAUUCCAGUGCUAGAAAAUUUAGCCCUUUAAAAUGUCUUAGAGCCUUUUAUCUGCAGAACAUCGAUAUGUAUAUCAUUCUACAGAAUAAAUCCAGUAUUGCUGAUUUUAAAGGCAGAGAAGUUCUCAAAGUUAAUUCACCUAUGUUAUUUUGUGUACAAGUUGUUAUUGUUGAACAUACUUCAAAAAUAAUGUGCCAUGUGGGUGAGUUAAUUUUACCAAGAGUAACUUUACUCUGUGUUUAAAAAGUAAGUUAAUGUAUUGUAAUCUUUCAUCCAAAAUAUUUUUUGCAAGUUAUAUUAGUGAAGAUGAUUUCAAUUCAGAUUGUCUUGCAACUUCAGUUUUGUUUUUGCCAAGGCAAAAAACUCUAAUCUGUGUGUAUAUUGAGAAUCCCUUAAAAUUACCAGACAAAAAAAGUCAUUUACAAUUACAUUUGUUAUUCCUAAUGGAUGACUGUUUAUGAAGAAGUAUACUUUUCCCCUGUUAAACAGUAGUUAUAUUCUUCUGUAUUUCUAGGCACAAGGUUGGUUGCUAAGAAGCAUCUAUAAGAGGAAUUUCUUUUCCUUCAUUCAUAGGGAAAGGUUUUGUAUUUUUUAAAACACUAAAAGCGGCGUCACUCUACCUAAUGUCUCACUGUUCUGCAAAGGUGGCAAUGCUUAAACUAAAUAAUGAAUAAACUGAAUAUUUUGGAAACUGCUAAAUUCUAUGUUAAAUACUGUGCAGAAUAAUGGAAACAUUACAGUUCAUAAUAGGUAGUUUGGAUAUUUUUGUACUUGAUUUGAUGUGACUUUUUUUGGUAUAAUGUUUAAAUCAUGUAUGUUACGAUAUUGUUUAAAAUUCAGUUUUUGUAUCUUGGGGCAAGACUGCAAACUUUUUUAUAUCUUUUGGUUAUUCUACGCCCUUUGCCAUCAAUGAUCAUAUCAACUGGCAGUGACUUUGUAUAGAGAAUUUAAGUAGAAAAGUUGCAGAUAUAUUGACUGUACCACAGACGCAAUAUGUAUGCUUUUUACCUAGCUGGUAGCAUAAAUAAAACUGAAUCUCAACAUA
rnacentral:sRNA from 1 species